rnacentral:rRNA from 1 species
AAUUUUCGGCAAUGGGGGAGACCCUGACCGAGCAACGCCGCGUGAACGACGAAGUACUUCGGGUUGUAAAGCUCUUUCGGACGGAACGAAAUCGCGCAGGCUAAUACCCUGCGCGGAUGACGGUACCGUCAUAAGAAGCACCGGCUAACUACGUGCACGCAGCCGCGGUAAUACGUAGGGUGCGAGCGUUAAUCGGAAUUACUGGGCGUAAAGCGUGCGCAGGCGGUUGAUUAAGACAGGCGUGAAAUCCCCGGGCUUAACCUGGGAACUGCGCUUGUGACUGGUCAGCUAGAGUACGGCAGAGGGGGGUGGAAUUCCACGUGUAGCAGUGAAAUGCGUAGAGAUGUGGAGGAACACCGAUGGCGAAGGCAGCCCCCUGGGCCGAUACUGACGCUCAUGCACGAAAGCGUGGGUAGCAAACAGG